rnacentral:rRNA from 1 species
AAUGAACGUUGGCGGCGUGGAUUAGGCAUGCAAGUCGUGCGACAGGCCCGCAAGGGCGCUGAGCGGCGAAAGGGAGAGUAACGCGUAGGUUAUCUACCCUCAGGACCGGGAUAGCUACGGGAAACUGUAGGUAAUACCGGAUGAUGUCUCCGGACUAAAGGUGUGAUUCCGCCUGUGGAGGAGCCUGCGUCCUAUUAGCUAGUUGGUGGGGUAACGGCCUACCAAGGCUGAGAUGGGUACGGGGUAUGAGAGUAUGCCCCCGCUCACUGGGACUGAGACACUGCCCAGACACCUACGGGUGGCAG